CUGCUGCCUCCCGUAGGAGUUUGGGCCGUGUCUCAGUCCCAAUGUGGCCGGCCACCCUCUCAGGUCGGCUACUGAUCGUCGCCUUGGUGGGCCGUUACCUCACCAACCAGCUAAUCAGACGCGGAUCCAUCCCAUACCACCGGAGUUUUUCACACCAGACCAUGCGGUCCUGUGCGCUUAUGCGGUAUUAGCAGUCAUUUCUAACUGUUAUCCCCCUGUAUGAGGCAGGUUAUCCACGCGUUACUCACCCG
rnacentral:rRNA from 1 species